GCCCAAGGGCAUGCUGGUCUUACAGGGAGAUGUGUUCAAGUGCAUUGUGGGCGUGCUGGUCUUACAGGGAGGUGUGUUCAGGUGCAUUGUGGGCAUGCUGGUCGUACAGGGAGGUGUGUUCAGGUGCAUUGUGGGUAUGCUGAUCCUACAGGGAGGUGUAUUCAGGUGCAUUCU